rnacentral:rRNA from 1 species
UCUCGCGUCAGGAUAUGCCUAGGUGGGAUUAGCUAGUUGGUGAGGUAAGGGCUCACCAAGGCGACGAUCCCUAGCUGGUCUGAGAGGAUGAUCAGCCACACUGGAACUGAGACACGGUCCAGACUCCUACGGGAGGCAGCAGUGGGGAAUAUUGCACAAUGGGCGCAAGCCUGAUGCAGCCAUGCCGCGUGUGUGAAGAAGGCCUUCGGGUUGUAAAGCACUUUCAGUCGUGAGGAAGGUAGUGUAGUUAAUAGCGGCAUUAUUUGACGUUAGCGACAGAAGAAGCACCGGCUAACUCCGUGCCAGCAGCCGCGGUAAUACGGAGGGUGCGAGCGUUAAUCGGAAUUACUGGGCGUAAAGCGCAUGCAGGUGGUUUGUUAAGUCAGAUGUGAAAGCCCGGGGCUCAACCUCGGAAUAGCAUUUGAAACUGGCAGACUAGAGUACUGUAGAGGGGGGUAGAAUUUCA